rnacentral:piRNA from 1 species
UCAUCCGUGGGUUCUGGAUAGUGAGGCCUA